rnacentral:tRNA from 1 species
GCGGCGGGUAGCUCAAUGGCAGAGCAGGAAACUGCUUUCCACGCCCCUUGCCCCGGCACAUGCUGCGGGCCGAAGUGCGAAAGUUACCACUCUUAAUGGCCGGGUUGCGGGUUCGAGUCCCGCCCCGCCGCU